rnacentral:rRNA from 1 species
UACGUGGGGGGCUAGCGUUGUCCGGAAUCAUUGGGCGUAAAGAGCGUGUAGGCGGCCUUUUAAGUCCUGCGUGAAAUCCUGCGGCUCAACCGCAGACGGUCGUGGGAAACUGGAAGGCUAGAGUGCGGGAGAGGAGAGUGGAAUUCCCGGUGUAGCGGUGAAAUGCGCAGAUAUCGGGAAGAACACCCGUGGCGAAGGCGGCUCUCUGGAACGCAACUGACGCUGAGACGCGAAAGCGUGGGGAGCAAACAGG